UACGUAGGUGGCAAGCGUUACUCGGAAUUACUAGGCGUAAAGCGCAGGUAGGUGGUGUGAUAAGUCCGUAAUGAAAUCUCCCGGCUUAACUGGGAGGGGUUUAGGGAUACUGUCAUGCUCGAGUGUGGGAGAGGUAACUGGAAUUCCUGGUGUAGCGGUGAAAUGCGCAGAUAUCAGGAGGAACACCGGUGGCGAAGGCGGGUCUCUGGGCCGACACUGACACUGAAACACGAAAGCGUGGGUAGCGAAUGGG
rnacentral:rRNA from 1 species